rnacentral:rRNA from 1 species
AGGGAAAGAAGACCUGUUGAGCUUGACUCUAAUCUGGCAGUGUAAGGAGACAUAAGAGGUGUAAAUAAGUGGGAGAUAAUUGAUUAAACCCUUUUAUCAACAAUGAAAUACCACUACUCUUAUUGUUUCCUUACUUACUUGAUAAAAUGGAACGUGUAUUAUUUACUUAGCCAUUACACGAAUAUAUUUAUACAUUUUAUGGUAUUUUGUUUUGAUACGAGUUUUUCGAUCAAAAUACUAAGAGUUUGUUAUAUAUACCAAACAAAUUUAAUGAAUUUUUUUAUAUAUAUAUAUCACAAUUGUGUUUAUUAUAUAUAUUUAAAAUAGUAAUUGAAUUUGGUAUAACUCCUACACUCAGGUAUGAUCCAAUUCAAGGACAUUGCCAGGUGGGGAGUUUGACUGGGGCGGUACAUCUCUCAAAUAAUAACGGAGGUGUCCCAAGGCCAGCUCAGUGCGGACAGAAACCACACAUAGAGCAAAAGGGCAAAUGCUGACUUGAUCUCGGUAUUCAGUACAUACAGAGACAGCAAAAGCUCGGCCUAUCGAUCCUUUUGGUUUAAAGGGUUUUUAACAAGAGGUGUCAGAAAAGUUACCACAGGGAUAACU